AGAAAGGGGGGUGGGGUUGGGGGGGUGUGGGGUGUGUGCACGGCUGCAUAUGUAUGUAAGUGCAUGUGAUUGAGAUGGUAGACACUAUCUAUUGCUAUUUUUGUACUCGCACAUGGGUAAAUAUGUGCAUGCAAGUACUUUUAAUUGUCCAUGCGUACUACUUCCUUUGCACAUUGGGAAUUGACAUGAGAGGCACCUCCUACUGUUGGUUCUCUAAAUAUGCCCUUACCAUGUGUGUGGUUUGUGCAUUCAUAGGAGCCUGCACACACAUGAAGACUCAUCCAUACGCAUGGUAAGCACUUUUUCGUGUUUAAGUAACAGUUUAUUAGUGUCCAUAUUUACAAUGACUUUCUGUAGCCUGUGUCCAUACUUGCCCAGACCAUUGGCGUGCAUGUUUGUAGGCAGGUAUUUCUCUAGUCAACCAUGAUGGAAAGUGAGCUGGAGUUUUUUAGUAAAACAAACCUUUGCAAAUAGAAUGCUUGUGCAUGGAGUAUAAACCCAAUUUUAUGCAGUGAAACUACUGAAGGCCAUUUGUCAUUAGUGAGUUUGGUGCUGUUUUUCAAAUUUAUUCACAAUGAUGCUAUGUUUUGAUAUGAUUGGAUGGCGUUGAUGUUGAACUAAAAUUUGCAUUUUGAUAAUUAUGCUAUGAUUAUACUUUUCAACUUGCUUUUGUCAUUAUAUUAAUAUAGUUGCAUGGUUUUGCAGCUGUAGCAGUAAGUCCUUUCUACAAGGAGAUCUGGUGGUUGGGAUUUUCUGGACUCUUGAUCUUCCAUCUUCUUUGUUGCUCACAUUGACAAAAGUACAUUUCUUAAUCAUAUGGCUGG
rnacentral:misc_RNA from 1 species